CACCUUUUUUUUUUUUGUGUAGCCGCUGAAAUGAAAUAGGUUUUGGCGCCAUAAUAGAACACCCAGAACAUUUGCUUGCUUCGUUCAGUGCUUCAUUCCAGAUCGGAUACAACCGUGUUCUGCGCUUCAUUCAUUUGCUUGUUCAUUCAAGAUCUGAUACAACCGUGUUCAUUCCAGAACAUUCACGCCCUUCAUUCGUUUGAUGCUACCCGGUGUGAAGUAAAUCAAUCUGAUCGUCUACCAGCAUCAAGUGAAGAAACAGGUAACUAUAACGAAUUCGUUGAAGACAAUUUCAAAGCAAUUUAGAUGCCUAAAAGAUGCAAUCAUGUCACAAAUCAAAGCAACAAGCAAGAGUUUAGGGGAAGAAGACAGUAACAGUAAUACAACAGGUGUAAAACUGGAAGGAAGUAGUGGUUCCAGAUUGAAGCUCGUGGAUCACCAGCUUCGACAGCAGCGGAUGUUAUAGCAGCUUGGCAUGAUGCAGCAUAACGCCUGGUGCCCCCAGCGUGGUUUACCUGAGCGUGCUGUUUCCGUUCUUCGUGCUUGGCUUUUUGAACACUUUCUUCACCCAUAGAUGCUACUCACUACUUAAUUUAUUUCUCUGUAUGAAUCGUAGUUGUGAUUGAGAUUGUGAUUUGCUGCCUAUCAACUAGUAAUACUUGCAAAAUCACAGUGUUCAUCCAUUUCACAGCAAAUAUAUUAUGGAAAAUGAUAAGGAUCCUUAAGAGUUGUCGAGAUUCUUUACUAGUGUAAUGCUUCUGCCCUCUUAACACCAAGAAAAGUAUUCGUGUUCCACCAAAUCAUGUGCCUUCUACUCAUAUAUUUUUGUCUGGUUUUUUUUUUUUUUUAUGUAUCUUAUGCAUAUCAAAGUUCUCAGCUACAGUAAGAAGAUUUCCUUAUUAUUUUUUGUAGUUUUCAAGUGUUUAUGACUUUUAAUGUUUAAUUUAUUUGAAAGAGUAGUAGAUAUGUCAUAUUGAGUUUGGCUUUAUCUCUUCUCAGUGUACUCCUCAGCUAUUCCAAUGAUUAUAAUCUUGCUUUCCCUGCUUGAGUUGUUUCCUAAUUUAAGACUAAUGCUUCUCUUGAUUGCUGUUGUAGUUUACUAUUUUGUUACGAAAAAUCAAUGUCCUGAUGUUACUCCUUAUUUAAUAUAUGAGGUGUUUUAGUUGAAAUGUCUGAGCCUAAACUUCUUGAGCUUCAAAGAGUCAAACUAUUGCUACCUAAAACUAUUUUAGUUGACUUGCUUAUGUAGACUUUGGUAUAUAACUUGAAUUGAUUUUUACCGAGUACUAGAGUCUGUCCAAAACGGUUUUUUUUUUAAUUUGUUUUCGGGUCUCCGAAAUGUUCAAGACAACCUGUGAGAUUGAAGAUGGCUGGCAUUUUCCCGAUGGGCUGCUGCAGCUCAGUUUGCGCUUGUAGUGAGCUUAACAU